AUUUAUAUAAUAUAAAUAAUUAUAUUUGACUUCCAAUCAAAAAAUCUAACCAAUAUUAGUAUAAAUA
rnacentral:tRNA from 1 species